CCACUGCUGAAGAGUUCCACAGUGGGACGAAACGGCCGUCCAGUGU
rfam:Schistosoma mattheei strain Denwood, Zambia genome assembly, scaffold: SMTD_scaffold0005921